UACGAAGGGGGCUAGCGUUGCUCGGAAUUACUGGGCGUAAAGGGUGCGUAGGUGGGUUGGUAAGUCCGUGGUGAAAUCUCCGAGCUUAACUCGGAAACUGCCGUGGAUACUAUCAAUCUUGAAUACUGUGGAGGUAAGCGGAAUAUGUCAUGUAGCGGUGAAAUGCUUAGAUAUGACAUAGAACACCGAUAGCGAAGGCAGCUUGCUACACAGUUAUUGACACUGAGGCACGAAAGCGUGGGGAGCAAACAGG
rnacentral:rRNA from 1 species